UACGUAGGGGGCAAGCGUUAUCCGGAAUUACUGGGUGUAAAGGGUGAGUAGGCGGCAUGGUAAGCCAGAUGUGAAAGCCUUGGGCUUAACCCGAGGAUUGCAUUUGGAACUAUCAAGCUAGAGUGCAGGAGAGGAAAGCGGAAUUCCUAGUGUAGCGGUGAAAUGCGUAGAUAUUAGGAAGAACACCAGUGGCGAAGGCGGCUUUCUGGACUGAAACUGACGCUGAGGCACGAAAGCGUGGGGAGCGA
rnacentral:rRNA from 1 species